rnacentral:tRNA from 1 species
CAGUAUUUAGUUUAUAAAAAAUAUAAUAUUUGGGUUAUUAAGAAUUUUGCUGAA